CAAUGAGGAUAAAUUUUGUCAUUUCACAUGAGAACUGCAUUAAAUGCUGCAUUAAAAUGACUUACAACUUUUAGAAAACCCUUUUUUGCCCUUGCAUUAAAUAAUUUUUGGGAAUAAGGACAAGGGGAAAAAAGUAAGAUUACAA